rnacentral:tRNA from 1 species
GGCAGGGUAGUUCAGUGGUCAGGGUGUCAGCCUAGGCCCUGAAAGACCUAGGAUCAAUUUCCUGCUCUGCCA